rnacentral:rRNA from 1 species
GGUUAAGCGACUAAGCGUACACGGUGGAUGCCCUGGCAGUCAGAGGCGAUGAAGGACGUGCUAAUCUGCGAUAAGCGUCGGUAAGGUGAUAUGAACCGUUAUAACCGGCGAUUUCCGAAUGGGGAAACCCAGUGUGAUUCGUCACACUAUCAUUAACUGAAUCCAUAGGUUAAUGAGGCGAACCGGGGGAACUGAAACAUCUAAGUACCCCGAGGAAAAGAAAUCAACCGAGAUUCCCCCAGUAGCGGCGAGCGAACGGGGAGGAGCCCAGAGCCUGAAUCAGUGUGUGUGUUAGUGGAAGCGUCUGGAAAGGCGCGCGAUACAGGGUGACAGCCCCGUACACAAAAAUGCACAUACUGUGAGCUCGAUGAGUAGGGCGGGACACGUGGUAUCCUGUCUGAAUAUGGGGGGACCAUCCUCCAAGGCUAAAUACUCCUGACUGACCGAUAGUGAACCAGUACCGUGAGGGAAAGGCGAAAAGAACCCCGGCGAGGGGAGUGAAAAAGAACCUGAAACCGUGUACGUACAAGCAGUGGGAGCACAGAGCAAUCUGUGUGACUGCGUACCUUUUGUAUAAUGGGUCAGCGACUUAUAUUCUGUAGCAAGGUUAACCGAAUAGGGGAGCCGAAGGGAAACCGAGUCUUAACUGGGCGUUAAGUUGCAGGGUAUAGACCCGAAACCCGGUGAUCUAGCCAUGGGCAGGUUGAAGGUUGGGUAACACUAACUGGAGGACCGAACCGACUAAUGUUGAAAAAUUAGCGGAUGACUUGUGGCUGGGGGUGAAAGGCCAAUCAAACCGGGAGAUAGCUGGUUCUCCCCGAAAGCUAUUUAGGUAGCGCCUCGUGAAUUCAUCUCCGGGGGUAGAGCACUGUUUCGGCAAGGGGGUCAUCCCGACUUACCAACCCGAUGCAAACUGCGAAUACCGGAGAAUGUUAUCACGGGAGACACACGGCGGGUGCUAACGUCCGUCGUGAAGAGGGAAACAACCCAGACCGCCAGCUAAGGUCCCAAAGUCAUGGUUAAGUGGGAAACGAUGUGGGAAGGCCCAGACAGCCAGGAUGUUGGCUUAGAAGCAGCCAUCAUUUAAAGAAAGCGUAAUAGCUCACUGGUCGAGUCGGCCUGCGCGGAAGAUGUAACGGGGCUAAACCAUGCACCGAAGCUGCGGCAGCGACGCUUAUGCGUUGUUGGGUAGGGGAGCGUUCUGUAAGCCUGCGAAGGUGUGCUGUGAGGCAUGCUGGAGGUAUCAGAAGUGCGAAUGCUGACAUAAGUAACGAUAAAGCGGGUGAAAAGCCCGCUCGCCGGAAGACCAAGGGUUCCUGUCCAACGUUAAUCGGGGCAGGGUGAGUCGACCCCUAAGGCGAGGCCGAAAGGCGUAGUCGAUGGGAAACAGGUUAAUAUUCCUGUACUUGGUGUUACUGCGAAGGGGGGACGGAGAAGGCUAUGUUGGCCGGGCGACGGUUGUCCCGGUUUAAGCGUGUAGGCUGGUUUUCCAGGCAAAUCCGGAAAACUAAGGCUGAGGCGUGAUGACGAGGCACUACGGUGCUGAAGCAACAAAUGCCCUGCUUCCAGGAAAAGCCUCUAAGCAUCAGGUAACAUCAAAUCGUACCCCAAACCGACACAGGUGGUCAGGUAGAGAAUACCAAGGCGCUUGAGAGAACUCGGGUGAAGGAACUAGGCAAAAUGGUGCCGUAACUUCGGGAGAAGGCACGCUGAUAUGUAGGUGAAGUCCCUCGCGGAUGGAGCUGAAAUCAGUCGAAGAUACCAGCUGGCUGCAACUGUUUAUUAAAAACACAGCACUGUGCAAACACGAAAGUGGACGUAUACGGUGUGACGCCUGCCCGGUGCCGGAAGGUUAAUUGAUGGGGUUAGCGGUAACGCGAAGCUCUUGAUCGAAGCCCCGGUAAACGGCGGCCGUAACUAUAACGGUCCUAAGGUAGCGAAAUUCCUUGUCGGGUAAGUUCCGACCUGCACGAAUGGCGUAAUGAUGGCCAGGCUGUCUCCACCCGAGACUCAGUGAAAUUGAACUCGCUGUGAAGAUGCAGUGUACCCGCGGCAAGACGGAAAGACCCCGUGAACCUUUACUAUAGCUUGACACUGAACAUUGAGCCUUGAUGUGUAGGAUAGGUGGGAGGCUUAGAAGUGUGGACGCCAGUCUGCAUGGAGCCGACCUUGAAAUACCACCCUUUAAUGUUUGAUGUUCUAACGUGGACCCGUGAUCCGGGUUGCGGACAGUGUCUGGUGGGUAGUUUGACUGGGGCGGUCUCCUCCUAAAGAGUAACGGAGGAGCACGAAGGUUGGCUAAUCCUGGUCGGACAUCAGGAGGUUAGUGCAAUGGCAUAAGCCAGCUUGACUGCGAGCGUGACGGCGCGAGCAGGUGCGAAAGCAGGUCAUAGUGAUCCGGUGGUUCUGAAUGGAAGGGCCAUCGCUCAACGGAUAAAAGGUACUCCGGGGAUAACAGGCUGAUACCGCCCAAGAGUUCAUAUCGACGGCGGUGUUUGGCACCUCGAUGUCGGCUCAUCACAUCCUGGGGCUGAAGUAGGUCCCAAGGGUAUGGCUGUUCGCCAUUUAAAGUGGUACGCGAGCUGGGUUUAGAACGUCGUGAGACAGUUCGGUCCCUAUCUGCCGUGGGCGCUGGAGAACUGAGGGGGGCUGCUCCUAGUACGAGAGGACCGGAGUGGACGCAUCACUGGUGUUCGGGUUGUCAUGCCAAUGGCACUGCCCGGUAGCUAAAUGCGGAAGAGAUAAGUGCUGAAAGCAUCUAAGCACGAAACUUGCCCCGAGAUGAGUUCUCCCUGACUCCUUGAGAGUCCUGAAGGAACGUUGAAGACGACGACGUUGAUAGGCCGGGUGUGUAAGCGCAGCGAUGCGUUGAGCUAACCGGUACUAAUGAACCGUGAGGCUUAACCUU